rnacentral:rRNA from 1 species
UACGGAGGAUCCAAGCGUUAUCCGGAUUUAUUGGGUUUAAAGGGUGCGUAGGCGGCCUAUUAAGUCAGGGGUGAAAGACGGUAGCUUAACUAUCGCAGUGCCUUUGAUACUGAUGGGCUUGAAUACACUUGAGGUAGGCGGAAUGUGACAAGUAGCGGUGAAAUGCAUAGAUAUGUCACAGAACACCAAUUGCGAAGGCAGCUUACUAAAGUGUGAUUGACGCUGAGGCACGAAAGCGUGGGGAUCAAACAGG